AAAGACCCACUUGUGUCCUACUGGUUUUAUCUUAGAUGGUGUCCUUAAGGUCGGACCAAACACAUCCCUUUUCUUUAAUGAACUUAACUCUACGUUUAUGGCUUCUUUUCACUUUAGCCAAUCUGAUCUUUGAGUGCCCUCUAAUAUAGACGUGGGUUCAUGAUCCUCAUUCAUUUCAAGUGCUACCUUAUAUGCAAAUAUUUCAUCGAUGUCGACAUCUUUGCGGUUCCAUUUUAUUCCAGACAUGAUAUAAUUUAUUGAGAUCUCAUUAUUAUCUAUCCCUUCAGGAUCAUGAGGAUUGGCGUCCCAAAUCUCUCUAUUCGGUUCCUUAGGGUCUGCCGCGGCCAUGUCUAUGG
rnacentral:lncRNA from 1 species